AUUGGUGCUACACAUGUGAAGUGCUCUGAACGAGGAAAGCAGCAACUUCUUGAAAUGUUCACUUGAACUCUUCUUGGCUGUCUCAAUCUGAGGAACCAGAAUCUAAAGAACCUUCAUCUGCAGCAAGGAGAAUGAACAAUGGUCCAUUGAGUAACCACGAAGAACAGAGAGAGCAGAGCAGAGCAUUUCGGUGAGUUGGGGCUUUUCCAGUCAGCCAGAGCUGGCAGAAACCAACUGAGAGGACGUGGAGGACUGGCUGAA
rnacentral:lncRNA from 13 species